GCCCUGGUAGUAUAGUGGUAUCAUACAUCCUUCGGGUGAUUUGAAUCCAGACUGAAUAACAAAUUAGUCUUGCAUGGAUGUGACCCGCGUUCGAUUCGCGGCUAGGGCC